CAAGACUUAUCCCAUGUUUUAUUCAAUGAAGGGAUACUAAGCUAAGUGUGUGAAUUUCCGAGUGGCCACGGUUAUUUGCAUUCUAGCAUAGUAUCAAUAUGCCCUUUAUUAUUUUAUACAUUUGGAAACAAUUUUGAUUUUUAAAUGUUUUCUUAGAGAAAGAAUGAGAGUCAGGCUUUUCUGAACUGGUACCUAAUGAAUGGCCUAUCUCACUAUUUCUCAUUCAGGGCAAGAAGUCGGUUUUGACAACGAAAGGGUUUCACAGAGACUUGGUUUUAAAGAAUAAUCUUCAUCGGCUAUAUAAUUGUUUUCUAGUUAUCCAAAAUAUUUUUUUAUGCCGAAAAAAUUUCUAUUGAACAAACUUGUUGCUCAAUUUAGCAUCUAUUAUCAAGGUAUAACCAGUCAAUUGCAUCUGCUUAAAAAAAAAAAAAAAAAAAUUGACUGUAAGACAUGAAGAUCAAGGAUGUUUUCAUGAUGAUGGUCAUUUUCUCUUCUUACGUUAUGUGGUUUGUGUUCAAAAGUAUGGAUGAUGAGGAUUCGUUUGUAUUUUCGUAUACAUUCAUUGUAAUUUAUACUAUUGUUAUAGCUUAUUUCCUUUCUAUCUAUAUUGUAGUCCUCAUGUGAGGUGUUUACACAUCCUCGCCUUUUUAUAUAUGAUAAGGAUUACAAGAAGUCAGGAAUAAGUUUUGUUUUCGGGGUGAAAGUAAGUGUUGUGUAUAAAAUCUUAUGCUGUGAAAUGUUGUUCUGUUUAUUUGUAAUGGUAGUUCUUGUCUCCGAUUAUCAAAUUUUAGUUUGAAAUUUCGAGGACGAAAUUAUUUUAACGGGGGAAGGAUUGUAAUAUCCAACAUUUUCAUAAUACAUUUAUUUAUUAUAAAUCAAAGUUUUAAUACAUAAAAUGUACAACUUUACAAAUUAAGAAAUAGUAAUGGAAAAAUAGUGUUUAAAAUAUGAUUUUAUGUUUUUAAUGAGAUUAAAGAAAGAGAAACUUGAGUAGUCAAGUAUUGGACCCAAAUGUCAUAUAAUUUUAAUUGGAGAUUUUUAUAAAAUUAAGAAAGUUUGGCUAAAGGGCUUAUUUGAAAAGAAUUUUAGUAUUUUGGGUCCAAGUGUAAUUUUUAAAAAUAAAUAAAUAAAUAAAAUAAAAUAAAAGGCUUCAGCCUUUCAUUUUACCCGAGCCCCUCUCUCUCUCUCCUCAGAAACUCUCUCUCUCUCUCUCUCUCUCUCUCUCUCUCUCUCUCUCUGCGUGUUACUGUUGCCGACGACGCAGGAGUACUUUCUGGCCACCAUUUUUAGCCACGCGCCGGACCGUUGGAUUCAGAGGCCUCCGAACUAUCGACCCACGCGGGAAUCUAGAGCUCACUCGCCGAUUAAACGCCUCAACCACUCGAUUUAAGUUCGGCCACCCCGCGACUUCAAAGUUGCGAUUCGGCCACCUCGGGCAUCCGUUUGCCGAUCCGUCACCACCAUCGUGCUCCUCGUGUUGUGGGCUUCAAAACCCAAUAACUUGUUCCUACAUCUACCAUAGUUGGGUGGUGGGCCCACCACGAGCCACCGCGAUCCACCGUAGACCGACGGUCGAAACUUAGUGUUCGAGGUUCCGAAGUACGUUUUGAGUCUCAGAAAAUCAUCGUUUGACUUAUUGUGGAACCCGAUCAUUUUGGAUUUGUAUGGAUUUGAUUGAUUGACUCUUGGUGAGCCGUUUUAAAAUAAGCUAAGGACCUAAGGUGUGGCUUUAGCUGUUGAGCAACUUGUGGAGCACGGACUCAGUAGCAAUGCAAUAAUAGUUUAGAGUUUUCAUAUGGCUGCCUUAAAUUUAAAGUAUUCAUACGUGUAAUAAUUUCUUCUAAUAAGUUUAUAUAAAAGUUUAAAUUUUUCUGUA